rnacentral:rRNA from 1 species
GUCCACGCCCGUAAACGUUGGGCACUAGGUGUGGGGCUCUAUCGACGGGUUACGUGCCGAAGCUAACGCAUUAAGUGCCCCGCAUGGGGAGUACGGCCGCAAGGCUAAAACUCAAAGGAAUUGACGGGGGCCCGCACAAGCGGCGGAGCAUGUGGCUUAAUUCGAUGCAACGCGAAGAACCUUACCAAGGCUUGACAUGCUGGGUAAUCCGUGGAAACACGGUGAUCCUUCGGGAUCCAGCGCAGGUGGUGCAUGGCUGUCGU